AGAAUCAACGCUGGCGGCGUGCCUAACACAUGCAAGUCGCACGAGAAAGGGAUUUCGGUCCUGAGUACAGUGGCGCACGGGUGAGUAACACGUGAAUGAUCUACCUCCGAGUGGGGAAUAACCUAGGGAAACCUGGGCUAAUACCGCAUAACACUUACGAGUCAAAGCAAGCAAUUGUGCUUGGAGAGGAGUUCGCGGCAGAUUAGCUAGUUGGUGAGGUAAUGGCUCACCAAGGCGAUGAUCUGUA
rnacentral:rRNA from 1 species